rnacentral:rRNA from 1 species
CGUUCUCGGGCCUUGUACACACCGCCCGUCACACCACGAAAGUUGGCAAUACCCGAAGCCGGUGGCCUAACCCCCAAGGGAGGGAGCCGUCGAAGGUAGGGUCGAUGAUUGGGGUG